GACCCCUUAGCUCAGUGGUAGAGCGUGUGAUUCCAGCUUUGGUGCGUCCACAAGGUCAAGCGUUCAACUCGCUUAGGAGUCA